rnacentral:lncRNA from 1 species
UCUUGUUUACACUUUUUUUUCACGAUUACUUCAGAACCAAAACAUGCUCAGGUCAAUGAGGUGGGUUUAUUAAAUCCUUUACAUCAAAAAGAAAAGGAAUAAAAAAAGAUAAAAAUAAAUCCUGACUGUUACUUGAAUAUAAGGCCUAUGAAGUGAUAGAGAAAAAUAAUAGGAUUGUGCUGUGUGCGAUGCACAAAUACUUCAGCCACUUAAUGGAAAGUUAAUGAAACGUAGCAUUAGAGAAAUAUAUGUAAAUAACCUAUUUCCUUAUAUGCAUUCUAUAAAGAUUGUGAUUUGAGCCAGACAGCAGGAAAAAGGUGCUGAAAACAAUGACAAAUUCGACUAUCACCUACCAUAAAUUAGAAGAUAUGGUUCUACAUAGUCUUCGUCGCAAUUUUACACUAUCUUGCGAGAUCACUAGAAUCUUAACGAAAUCCAGUAUGUAGCGUGUAAUCCUGAAAGCUCUGCAUAUAAUGGAGAUGCUACCCUUCUCAACUUGGCAGAUUUCAUCACCGGAUAACCCCAUAAAUUACUCACAAGUUGCUUCAUAACCCCAGGAGGGCUUAGUGGCCACGACAAAUGAAAGCAACAUUACAAACAACAAAUUUGCAGAGCUAAAGCAAGAAGCGGAUCUACACAGGGAUAGGCUCGGGAGCUGGAUCUGAGGGAGUUCUGCUAGUGCCAUUGAGGACGGUCACAUUGCCAUCAGAGUCCACGUCCACAAUUACUGAAUCACCUUCUUUGAUCUCACCGGCAAGCAUCUUCUCAGCCAUGCUGUCUUCCAGCAGUCUCAUAAUAGCUCUCCUCAACGGUCUUGCUCCGUAGCUUGGGUUGUACCCUUCAUCAACCACCCUGUCUCUAAACCUCUCUGUCACUUGAAGUUCUAUCUCCUUAUUUUUCAACCUCUCAAAGACCUCCUUAAGCAUGAUAUCAGCUAUCUCCUUCACCUCUAACUUAGUUAGCUGACGGAAUACAAUCAUCUCAUCCAAUCUGUUCAAGAACUCUGGCCUGAAGUACUGUUUCAACUCCUCAGUCACCAAGCUUUUGAUACGGUUGUAACUGCUAUCCUUCUCGUCAUAAUCUAGAUCAAAACCUAUACGACGGCCUCCUUUCUCUAUCACACUGCUUCCAACAUUCGAUGUCAUGAUGAGAAGUGUAUUCUUGAAGUCCACAGUUCUGCCCUUGCUGUCUGUCAAUCUUCCAUCUUCAAGAAUUUGAAGCAUCAUGUUGAAGACAUCAGGAUGAGCCUUCUCAAUCUCAUCAAAGAGCACAACAGUGUAAGGUCGACGCCUCACAGCUUCAGUCAGUUGACCACCUUCAGUGUAACCAACAUAACCAGGGGGUGAACCAAUGAGUUUAGAGACGGUGUGUCUCUCCAUAAACUCACUCAUAUCAAGCCGGAUCAUUGCUUCUUCAGAACCAAAGUAGUAUGCUGCUAAAGCCUUAGCCAGUUCUGAUUUCCCAACACCAGUUGGACCAGAAAAGAUGAAACUGGCAAUAGGUCGGUUGGGAUUCUUGAGCCCAACACGAGCACGUCGGAUAGCGCGACUAAUGGCUUUAACAGCUUCAUCCUGGCCAAUGAUUCUGGUGUGAAGUGUUUCUUCCAUUUUCAAGAGGCGAUCAGACUCAUCUGUAGAAACCUUCUCAACAGGGAUGCCAGUCCAUGAAGAUACAAUGUGCUGAAUAUCUGCCUCUGUAACGAGGGGACCUGUAUCUCCAGCCUCAGAUUCAGCCUUGCUCAUCUCUUUGUUUUUGUCUAUCAGGGCUGAGAUCUGUGCCUUAAGAUCCAUUUCUCUAUCACGCAGUUCCCCAGCCUGUCAAAUGUAUUGAAAGAUACGAGAUUAUGUAAUACAAACUCUGCAAUUACACUAUUUAGCAUCAAAAGCAGUUCAAUGCUUUUACUUAGGAAGAAAGCAGGUCACAGGAAUUUUAUGCACAGAAUCAGAGAAAACCAAUCACCUUUUCAAAAUCUUGACCACGCACGGCUUCAUUUUUCUCCUUUGUAAUCUGACGAAGUUCUUUCUCGAGCUCUCUUGCUUCCUCAGGAAGCUAGAUCGUAUCAAGAAAACAGGUCAUGACUCCAUUAGUAAAAGAGGGCUGGGAAAGGCAGAUUAAGAGAGUACUUUAUACCUGUGCAUGGCGAAGUCUAACACGAGAACCAGCUUCAUCAAUCAAAUCAAUUGCUUUAUCAGGCAGAAAACGGUCACUGGAACAAGCAAAGGUUCAAGUUAAAAGCGUGCUCAACCAUAAAUGAGUUAUCAUGGAAUCAAGGAAAAAUAUUUUGGUGGAGAUAAAUGUGCCAAUUUUCAGUAGUAGAUAAAAAUAUGCAUAAGCUUAUUCAGAUGUCGAUACAAAAGAAACCAACUUCUAAGACACUAUAUAAAGAACAUAAUACCAUUUUGGGAAGGAUAUAUCUUACUAUAUGCGUAAAAAUCAGUUGGUUAUGAAAUCCCAAUGUCAAAAAGUACCAACAACUCAAAGCGAGGAGAGACUAAGGGAAAUUUGGAAAAUGAAAACACGACUAAAUACCUGAUGUACUGAUAAGAAAGCUGGGCAGCAGCUUCUAAUGCCUCAUCGGUGUAACGGAGCUUGUGAUGAAUCUCAUAUCUCUCCCGAAGCCCUUUCAAGAUUUGUAUGGUUUCAUCCACAGUAGGUUCAGGGACUUUAACUGGCUGGAACCUCCUCUCCAACGCAGGAUCUUUCUCAAUGUGCUUUCUGUACUCAUCCAGGGUUGUGGCUCCAAUACACUGACAAAUGAAACCAAAUAAACUACUUCUCAGUUACACCAGCAGUAAAUAUUUUGUCACCGUUAACAGAUUUACCUUUCGACAUUAUUUUGCAGUUCUACCAGGAUCAAGAUAAUGAUUAAUCAUCAAAUUAAAAAGUGUAUUUCUAUUAAGUUUACAAGGAACACACUAGGUCUAGGAGGAUAACUAACCUGUAGUUCCCCUCUAGCUAAGGCAGGUUUCAAGAUGUUUGCAGCAUCAAUUGCCCCCUCUGCAGCUCCAGCUCCAAUCAAUGUGUGCACUUCAUCAAUAAAGAGUAUUAUUUCAUCACUUUGUUUAAUUUCUUCCAUUAGUUUCUUCAGUCUUUCCUCAAACUCUCCACGGUAUUUUGUCCCAGCAACAAGCAAACCCAUAUCUAGUGUUAUGACCUAAUCAUCACAAAUAGCAAGUCACAUAAGAAAAGGGAUUUACAAAUUAAAAGAAAAAUAAUACCACAUAUGACUGUACACUAGAUAUGGGUUUGCUUGUUGCUGGGACAAAAUACCGUGGAGAGUUUGAGGAAAGACUGAAGAAACUAAUGGAAGAAAUUAAACAAAGUGAUGAAAUAAUACUCUUUAUUGAUGAAGUGCACACAUUGAUUGGAGCUGGAGCUGCAGAGGGGGCAAUUGAUGCUGCAAACAUCUUGAAACCUGCCUUAGCUAGAGGGGAACUACAGGUUAGUUAUCCUCCUAGACCUAGUGUGUUCCUUGUAAACUUAAUAGAAAUACACUUUUUAAUUUGAUGAUUAAUCAUUAUCUUGAUCCUGGUAGAACUGCAAAAUAAUGUCGAAAGGUAAAUCUGUUAACGGUGACAAAAUAUUUACUGCUGGUGUAACUGAGAAGUAGUUUAUUUGGUUUCAUUUGUCAGUGUAUUGGAGCCACAACCCUGGAUGAGUACAGAAAGCACAUUGAGAAAGAUCCUGCGUUGGAGAGGAGGUUCCAGCCAGUUAAAGUCCCUGAACCUACUGUGGAUGAAACCAUACAAAUCUUGAAAGGGCUUCGGGAGAGAUAUGAGAUUCAUCACAAGCUCCGUUACACCGAUGAGGCAUUAGAAGCUGCUGCCCAGCUUUCUUAUCAGUACAUCAGGUAUUUAGUCGUGUUUUCAUUUUCCAAAUUUCCCUUAGUCUCUCCUCGCUUUGAGUUGUUGGUACUUUUUGACAUUGGGAUUUCAUAACCAACUGAUUUUUACGCAUAUAGUAAGAUAUAUCCUUCCCAAAAUGGUAUUAUGUUCUUUAUAUAGUGUCUUAGAAGUUGGUUUCUUUUGUAUCGACAUCUGAAUAAGCUUAUGCAUAUUUUUAUCUACUACUGAAAAUUGGCACAUUUAUCUCCACCAAAAUAUUUUUCCUUGAUUCCAUGAUAACUCAUUUAUGGUUGAGCACGCUUUUAACUUGAACCUUUGCUUGUUCCAGUGACCGUUUUCUGCCUGAUAAAGCAAUUGAUUUGAUUGAUGAAGCUGGUUCUCGUGUUAGACUUCGCCAUGCACAGGUAUAAAGUACUCUCUUAAUCUGCCUUUCCCAGCCCUCUUUUACUAAUGGAGUCAUGACCUGUUUUCUUGAUACGAUCUAGCUUCCUGAGGAAGCAAGAGAGCUCGAGAAAGAACUUCGUCAGAUUACAAAGGAGAAAAAUGAAGCCGUGCGUGGUCAAGAUUUUGAAAAGGUGAUUGGUUUUCUCUGAUUCUGUGCAUAAAAUUCCUGUGACCUGCUUUCUUCCUAAGUAAAAGCAUUGAACUGCUUUUGAUGCUAAAUAGUGUAAUUGCAGAGUUUGUAUUACAUAAUCUCGUAUCUUUCAAUACAUUUGACAGGCUGGGGAACUGCGUGAUAGAGAAAUGGAUCUUAAGGCACAGAUCUCAGCCCUGAUAGACAAAAACAAAGAGAUGAGCAAGGCUGAAUCUGAGGCUGGAGAUACAGGUCCCCUCGUUACAGAGGCAGAUAUUCAGCACAUUGUAUCUUCAUGGACUGGCAUCCCUGUUGAGAAGGUUUCUACAGAUGAGUCUGAUCGCCUCUUGAAAAUGGAAGAAACACUUCACACCAGAAUCAUUGGCCAGGAUGAAGCUGUUAAAGCCAUUAGUCGCGCUAUCCGACGUGCUCGUGUUGGGCUCAAGAAUCCCAACCGACCUAUUGCCAGUUUCAUCUUUUCUGGUCCAACUGGUGUUGGGAAAUCAGAACUGGCUAAGGCUUUAGCAGCAUACUACUUUGGUUCUGAAGAAGCAAUGAUCCGGCUUGAUAUGAGUGAGUUUAUGGAGAGACACACCGUCUCUAAACUCAUUGGUUCACCCCCUGGUUAUGUUGGUUACACUGAAGGUGGUCAACUGACUGAAGCUGUGACUGUUACUUGAAUACAAGGCCUAUGAAGUCUUCAUAUUUUAUAGAAAAAAAUAAUAGAAUUGUGCUGUGCGCGAUGCACUAAUACUUCAGCCAUUUAACGGAAAGUUAAUGAAACGUAGCAUUAGAGAAAUAUAUGUUCAUAACCUAUUUCCUUAUAUGCAUUCUACAAAGAUUGUGAUCUGAGCCAGACAUCAGGAAAAAGGUGCUGAAAACAAUGACAAAUUCGACUAUCACCUACCAUAAAUUAGAAGAUAUGGUUCUACAUAGUCUUCGUCGCAAUUUUACACUAUCUUGCGAGAUCACUAGAAUCUUAACGAAAUCCAGUAUGUAGCGUGUAAUCCUGAAAGCUCUGCAUAUAAUGGAGAUGCUACCCUUCUCAACUUGGCAGAUUUCAUCACCGGAUAACCCCAUAAAUUACUCACAAGUUGCUUCAUAACCCCAGGAGGGCUUAGUGGCCACGACAAAUGAAAGCAACAUUACAAACAACAAAUUUGCAGAGCUAAAGCAAGAAGCGGAUCUAC